rnacentral:rRNA from 1 species
CCUACGGGUGGCAGCAGUAGGGAAUAUUGCACAAUGGGGGAAACCCUGAUGCAGCAACGCCGCGUGAAGGAAGACGGUUUUCGGAUUGUAAACUUCUGUUCUUAGUGAAGAAUAAUGACGGUAGCUAAGGAGCAAGCCACGGCGAACUGCGUGCCAGCAGCCGAGGUAAUAGGGAGGUGGCAAGAGUUGUCCGGAAUUACUGGGUGUAAAGGGAGCGCAGGCGGGAAGCCAAGUCAGCUGUGAAAACUACGGGCUUAACUUGUAGACUGCAGUUGAAACUGGUUUUCUUGAGUGAGGUAGAGGUUGGCGGAAUUCCGGGUGUAGCGGUGAAAUGCGUAGAUAUUCGGAGGAACACCGGUGGUGAAGGCGGCCUACUGGGCUUUAACUGACGCUGAGGCUCGAAAGUGUGGGGAGCAAACAGGAUUAGAUACCCGGGUAGUC